ACUCAUUUGCAAUUAAACCAGGGACUGAAUUGAAAGUAGUUGAAAAUAUCCAGGGGCACAGUGAAAUUAAAGAAAAGUACAGGGACUGAUCUGCAAAUGCAUUCUCUGGUUUCUUAAUGGACCAGGCCAUGGGGCCAUUUAUUAUUUGUUUGGGCCGAACCUUCCCAACCCAAUCAAAAAAUCAAAGAAAAAGAUGGGCUGGCCUU
rnacentral:lncRNA from 1 species